rnacentral:rRNA from 1 species
UACGUAGGGGGCAAGCGUUGUCCGGAUUUAUUGGGCGUAAAGAGCUCGUAGGCGGUCUGUCGCGUCGGAUGUGAAAAUCCAGGGCUCAACCCUGGACCUGCAUUCGAUACGGGCAGACUAGAGUUCGGCAGGGGAGACUGGAAUUCCUGGUGUAGCGGUGAAAUGCGCAGAUAUCAGGAGGAACACCGGUGGCGAAGGCGGGUCUCUGGGGCCGAUACUGACGCUGAGGAGCGAAAGCGUGGGGAGCGAACAGG